rnacentral:rRNA from 1 species
GAAACCAGGACGCCAGUUUUGGCGGAGCCAUCCUUGGGAUACCACCCUUGUAGUACUGGGACUCUAACCAUAGGCCAUGAAUCUGGUCUUGGGACACUGUCAGGUGGGCAGUUUGACUGGGGCGGUCGCCUCCCAAAAGGUAACGGAGGCGCUCAAAGGUUCUCUCAGUACGGUCGGAAAUCGUACGUAGAGUGUAAAGGCAAAAGAGAGCUUGAUUGCAAGACAUACAGGUCGAGCAAGGAUGAAAAUCGGACUUAGUGAUCCGGUGGUUCUGCGUGGAAGGGCCAUCGCUCAACGGAUAAAAGCUACCCUGGGGAUAACAGGCUUAUCUCCCCCAAGAGUCCACAUCGACGGGGAGGUUUGGCACCUCGAUGUCGGCUCAUCACAUCCUGGGGCUGUAGUAGGUCCCAAGGGUUGGGCUGUUCGCCCAUUAAAGUGGUACGCGAGCUGGGUUCAGAACGUCGUGAGACAGUUCGGUCCCUAUCCGUCGCAGGCGUAGGAAAUUUGAGAAGACCUGUCCUUAGUACGAGAGGACCGGGAUGGACGUACCUCUGGUGUACCAGUUGUUCUGCCAAGGGCAUGGCUGGGUAGCUAUGUACGGAAUGGAUAAGCGCUGAAAGCAUCUAAGCGCGAAGCCAACU